CCCCUGGUGGUCCAGUGGCUCAGGACUCAGUGCUCUCACUGCCAGGGCCCCAGGUUCAAUUCCUGGUCGGGGCA
rnacentral:tRNA from 1 species